rnacentral:lncRNA from 1 species
CGCCCGCCCUCUCGGCUCAGGGCUGGCUUGGGUCUGUGGGAGCUUCCUGUGCUGUGCUGAAACUCCGGGCCUCCCUCCCUCUCACUCCAGGCUGCGUGCACCCAAGGCUCCAGAUGUUACUGCUGACAUGGGGCGCCAUGAAUUCACUUAUGCCUUGAUGCCACACAAGGGUUCUUUCCAAGAAGCUGGUGUUAUCCAGGCUGCCUACAACCUCAACUUUCCCCUCUUGGCACUGCCAGCUCCAGGCCCAGCCCCUGAUACCACCUGGAGCGCCUUUUCCGUGUCUUCACCAGCAGUCGUGUUGGAGACCAUCAAGCAGGCAAGGGCAGAAUAGACUGGGGAGGUUCCUGGGGUGCACAAGGUCUUGGCCCCGCCUUCCUCUACUGUCCUGCCUUCCUCUACUAGGCCGAGAAGAGCCAUCAGCACCGCACACUGGUUCUAAGGCUGUAUGAGGCUCAUGGCAGCCAUGUGGACUGCUGGCUACACACAUCAUUGCCUGUUCAGGAGGCCACCCUGUGAGUGGACAUACUGUACAAGGUAGAGGUGGGAGCUCUGCCCUUGUCGGUCCUUAUGGCCUCUCCUAUUCUCCAUCUAGUUGUGACCUCCUGGAGCAGCGAGACCCUACCGGUCACCUGUCCCUUCAGGACAACCGCCUGAAGCUCACCUUUUCUCCCUUUCAAGUGAGGUCCUUAUUGCUCGUGCUUCAGCCUCCAGCAAACUGAGUCUCGGCUGUGGAAAGCUUUGGGGGCUCCUCGUCUCCACCUCCCAAGUCUGAAGCAUCUUGUGCAAUAAAUGCUUAGAUCAGC